UACGGAAGGCAGCAGUGGGGAAUAUUGCACAAUGGGCGAAAGCCUGAUGCAGCUAUGCCGCGUGUAUGAAGAAGGCCUUAGGGUUGUAAAGUACUUUCAUCGGGGAGGAAAAAACAAAACUAAUAAUUUUAUUUCUUGACGUUACCCGAAAAAGAAGCACCGGCUAACUCCGUGCCAGCAGCCGCGGUAAUACGGAGGGUGCUAGCGUUAAUCAGAAUUACUGGGCGUAAAGAGCACGUAGGUGGUUUUUUUAAGUCAGAUGUGAAAUCCCUGGGCUUAACCUAGGAACUGCAUUUUGAAACUGAAGUACUAGAGUAUCGUAGAGGGAGGUAGAAUUCUAGGUGUAGCGGUGAAAUGCGUAGAUAUCUGGAGGAAUACCUGUGGCGAAAGCGGCCUCCUAAACGAAUACUGACACUGAGGGUGCGAAAGCGUGGGGAGCAAACAGGGAUUAGAUACC
rnacentral:rRNA from 1 species